ACGCUGGCGGCAGGCCUAACACAUGCAAGUCGAGCGGAUGAGCGGAGCUUGCUCCAUGAUUCAGCGGCGGACGGGUGAGUAAUGCCUAGGAAUCUGCCCGGUAGUGGGGGACAACGUUUCGAAAGGAACGCUAAUACCGCAUACGUCCUACGGGAGAAAGUGGGGGACCUUCGGACCUCACGCUAUCAGAUGAGCCUAGGUCGGAUUAGCUAGUUGGUGAGGUAAAGGCUCACCAAGGCGACGAUCCGUAACUGGUCUGAGAGGAUGAUCAGUCACACUG
rnacentral:rRNA from 1 species